rnacentral:misc_RNA from 1 species
GAUGAAGAACGUAGCGAAAUGCGAUAAGUAAUGUGAAUUGCAGAAUUCAGUGAAUCAUCGAAUCUUUGAACGCACCUUGCACCCUUUGGCAUUCCGAAGGGUAUGCUCGUUUGAGUGUCAUUGUACUCUCACUCUCCCGAUGCUUUUGGAUCGGGAGUGGUGGACUUGGGUGUUGCUGCUUUGCUGUGGCUCGCCUCAAAUGGAGUAGUGCAACUCUUGGUUGGACAUAGUACGGCGUGAUAAGUGUCUUCGCCGGCGCCUCAUUAUAGAGGGUGGCCGAUCGGGAGCUCUGUGCUUCAAACCGUCUUCGGACAACAUCUGACAACUUGACCUCAAAUCGAGUAGGACUACCCGCUGAACUUAAGCAUAUCAAAAGCGGAGGA